rnacentral:lncRNA from 1 species
CCAUAUUGAACCCACCGCACAUAAACAUUUCAUUAAUUUCAUCUUAUAAAUACACUUUUUCUUAUCUUGGUCCCUGAUGUUUCUGUUCUGCAGUUGUCCAUUUGUCAGCUGCCUGGGUUUAAUUUAUUCAUUAUCUUCCAUCCUCUCUGCGCGGAGGCUGCUGAUUCUUCUGCCCUGACUACAGUAAUGGGCACAUUUUUUCUCUGGACAGUAGUUUGCUUUAAAUUAAUAAGGACUGUGAUUCCUCUUCACUGUUUCACGUGCAGUGAUGUAUGAACUGAAAACAGGGCACAGUCAAAACAGAAAGACUGUGCAGAAAGAGCUUAUUUCCUUCUCAUUGUUUAGUUACAAAUCAGGCCAAAGGUGAAGCUGGCGUUCAUAAUAAAAGCCGUUAACUAAAAUCAAACCUAUAUUUAUUCUUCUAUUCUUGUUUAAACAGCAGUUUGUUGCCUUCACAUCCUGCUUCUCACCUGUUCCCCUCUCAGACCCGUUCAUCCAGACUUUUUCCACCGGCCUGCCUUCCUGCCAGUUUCCCACCUCCUGCCUGGUUCUGGCCUCUGUGUUCACCCGCCUCCUGCCAGGUCCGUUUCCAGCCGCUAACUUCACCCGUCCGUCCUUUCCUGCCUGCGCCUGCAAGGUAGCUGGUGGAGACGCGUCCUCGUGUGCGGAGCUCUGGAACCUGGAGCAGCUGAGGUGGAUGCGCUGCAGGACUGAAGCACAAACUCAGGGACACCCGGAUCAGUGCAGCCUCACGGCCCGUCGCGCUGAUAAGUGGGAGAACAGCAGGACUCCAGGAAUUCCUCUCUGCAUUAAUGGCCUCACGCUCCCACGUUGGACGUUUCCUUUAUGAGCUUGUUGCAGCGUCAAGAGGCCACAGAGGUGCGGCGCCGCCUGGACCGUCCUCCGGGCGCUGGUGCAGCUCGUGGGCGACCUGGAUGUGGAGGUGCUGUUGUGGUCCAGUGUCAGAGCUUUGAACGUGCGCAGCCUCCAGGAGCCGGAGAGCGAAACGCGGCGCAAAAAGCUGCAGCUUCAGCCACGAAGAGCCCGUGCUGUGGCUGAAAACUGGCCCGAGUGCAGCUGGGAACAAUGGUGAGCUGCUUGAGGUGUGGUGUGUCUCCAUGCACUGUCUAUCACCUGAUCGAUGAACACUGUGACUCACACAAUAUGACUCAGCU